rnacentral:rRNA from 1 species
AGUGAACGCUGGCGGUAGGCCUAACACAUGCAAGUCGAACGGCAGCACAGUAAGAGCUUGCUCUUACGGGUGGCGAGUGGCGGACGGGUGAGGAAUACAUCGGAAUCUACUUUUUCGUGGGGGAUAACGUAGGGAAACUUACGCUAAUACCGCAUACGACCUACGGGUGAAAGCAGGGGAUCUUCGGACCUUGCGCGAUUGAAUGAGCCGAUGUCGGAUUAGCUAGUUGGCGGGGUAAAGGCCCACCAAGGCGACGAUCCGUAGCUGGUCUGAGAGGAUGAUCAGCAACACUGGAACUGAGACACGGUCCAGACUCCUACGGGAGGCAGCAGUGGGGAAUAUUGGACAAUGGGCGCAAGCCUGAUCCAGCCAUACCGCGUGGGUGAAGAAGGCCUUCGGGUUGUAAAGCCCUUUGUUGGGAAAGAAAAGCAGCAGGUUAAUACCCCGCUGUUCUGACGGUACCCAAAGAAUAAGCACCGGCUAACUUCGUG